rnacentral:tRNA from 1 species
CAGAAAGUAGUUUCAACAAAAAUUUAGGUUUUGGAAAUCUAAGAUGGCUUACGAUGGGCCCUUUCUGA